rnacentral:piRNA from 1 species
UUCAUAACAUGGAAGCCACGUGAACC